CACGUAGGAGGCAAGCGUUAUUCGGAUUUACUGGGUGUAAAGCGCGUGUAGGCGGUUCGGAAAGUUGGAUGUGAAAGCUCCCGGCUUAACUGGGAGAGGCCGUUCAAAACUUCCGGACUAGAGAUUGGUAGAGGAAGAUGGAAUUCCGAGUGUAGUGGUGAAAUGCGCAGAUGUUCGGAGGAACACCAGUGGCGAAAGCGAUCUUCUAGACCAAAACUGACGCUCAGACGCGAAAGCUAGGGUAGCAAACGGGAUUAGAGACCCCGGUAGUCCUAGCCGUAAACGAUGUAGACUUGGCGUUGGUGGGUUCAAAUCCAUCAGUGCCGAAGCAAACGCGAUAAGUCUACCACCUGGGGACUACGGCCGCAAGGUUAAA
rnacentral:rRNA from 1 species